rnacentral:misc_RNA from 1 species
GAUGAAGAACGUAGCGAAAUGCGAUAAGUAAUGUGAAUUGCAGAAUUCCGUGAAUCAUCGAAUCUUUGAACGCACAUUGCGCCCCCUGGCAUUCCGGGGGGCAUGCCUGUCCGAGCGUCAUUUCUGCCCUCAAGCACGGCUUGUGUGUUGGGUGUGGUCCCCCCGGGGACCUGCCCGAAAGGCAGCGGCGACGUCCGUCUGGUCCUCGAGCGUAUGGGGCUCUGUCACUCGCUCGGGAAGGACCUGCGGGGGUUGGUCACCACUAUAUUUUACCACGGUUGACCUCGGAUCAGGUAGGAGUUACCCGCUGAACUUAAGCAUAUCAAUAAGCGGAAGA